rfam:Myotis brandtii contig268140, whole genome shotgun sequence.
GGUGGUUCUCGGGUGAUGCACCCUGGAAUCAGCCUUCCUCCUCUCUGGUUCCAGGUGCAUCACCCAAGAACCACA